AGGCUGACAUUUCUUGGCAACCUACGGAAGCUGUUCUGAUGAGCCUCUGUGUUAGUAAAGAAUACAUCUCUAUAAAUGGACUGCAGUACAGCUGACCUUGGACAGGCUUAUUUGGGCCUAACUGGGUUCUAAGCUUUCUGCUGGGUUCAGCUCUUUGUACUUCAGGCAACAACACCUGAGAGGAUUUUUCUGGCAGGCGAAAAAAUGUUUGCAAUGACUUUGAUGAUACGGUGACUGAGGUUUUGGCAGAAAUGUGAAUAUAAGCAAGCAUACUAUGAGAUACAUGAUCCAGUCACUGUAACCUUCUUUGGAACUAGUAUUGAUCCAGCAGCAGCUUUCAGUACUGAUCCUAAAAACAAAUAAUAUGAUCGGAUCAGAUCAUCACAAAGGGAGCAGGAAUUUGAAGGAUGUAUCUGGGUUAUUCAAACCGAAAACACCUAACUCCAGUUCAUUAAAAAUCAUUUCAUAUUUGUAUAAAA
rnacentral:lncRNA from 1 species